rnacentral:rRNA from 1 species
CUACGGGAGGCUGCAGGCGAGAAAACUUUGCAAUGUGCGAAAGCACGACAAGGUUAAUCCGAGUGGUUUGUGCUAAACGAACCUUUUGACAGUCCUAGAAACACUGUUGAAUAAGGGGUGGGCAAGUUCUGGUGUCAGCCGCCGCGGUAAAACCAGCACCUCAAGUGGUCAGGAUGAUUAUUGGGCCUAAAGCAUCCGUAGCCGGCUCUGUAAGUUUUCGGUUAAAUCUGUACGCUCAACGUACAGGCUGCCGGGAAUACUGCGGAGCUAGGGAGUGGGAGAGGUAGACGGUACUCGGUAGGAAGGGGUAAAAUCCUUUGAUCUAUUGAUGACCACCUGUGGCGAAGGCGGUCUACCAGAACACGUCCGACGGUGAGGGAUGAAAGCUGGGGGAGCAAACCGGAUUAGAUACCCGGGUAGUC